GAUGAACGCUGGCGGCGUGCCUAAUACAUGCAAGUCGAGCGAAUGGAUUAAGAGCUUGCUCUUAUGAAGUUAGCGGCGGACGGGUGAGUAACACGUGGGUAACCUGCCCAUAAGACUGGGAUAACUCCGGGAAACCGGGGCUAAUACCGGAUAACAUUUUGAACCGCAUGGUUCGAAAUUGAAAGGCGGCUUCGGCUGUCACUUAUGGAUGGACCCGCGUCGCAUUAGCUAGUUGGUGAGGUAACGGCUCACCAAGGCAACGAUGCGUAGCCGACUUGGGAGGGUGAUCGGCCACACUGGGACUGGCACACGGCCCAGACACCUAAGGGAGGCAGCACUAGGGAAUCUUCCGCAAUGACCGAAAUUCUGACGGAGCAACGCCGCGUGGGUGAUGAAGGCUUUCGGGUCGUAAAACUCUGUUGUUAGGGAAGAACAAGUGCUAGUUGAAUAAGCUGGCACCUGGACGGUACCUAACCAGAAAGCCACGGCUAACUACGUGCCAGCAGCCGCCGUAA
rnacentral:rRNA from 1 species